rnacentral:misc_RNA from 1 species
UCCUGGUUAACCCAGGCAGUCUCAUUAGAGUUCCCAGCAUUACCUGUUGGCAACUAAUGACAAGGGUUGCGCUCGUUGCGGGACUUAACCCAACACCUCACGGCACGAGCUGACGACAGCCAUGCAGCACCUGUAUAGCAGUUCAUACGAAAAGCUUCAUCUCUGAAGCGGUCCACUAUAUGUCAAGCCUAGGUAAGGUUCUUCGCGUUGCAUCGAAUUAAACCACAUGCUCCACUGCUUGUGCGGGUCCCCGUCAAUUCUUUUGAGUUUCAGCCUUGCGACUGUACUCCCCAGGCGGUGUACUUAUCGCGUUAACUACGGCACAAGUGGGGUUGAGUCCACCUACACCAAGUACACAUCGUUUACAGUUAGGACUAC